rnacentral:snRNA from 1 species
UAAUGUUACAGCUCUUUUAGAAUUUAUUUAGCAAGUUUUCCAGUCCUCACCAGAAGAUUCCC